UGCCAGCAGCCGCGGUAAUACGAAGGUCCCAAGCGUUGUUCGGAAUCACUGGGCUUAAAGAGCUCGUAGGUGGUUAAAAAAGUUGAUGGUGAAAUCCCAAGGCUCAACCUUGGAACUGCCAUCAAAACUUUUUAGCUAGAGUAUGAUAGAGGAAAGUGGAAUUUCUAGUGUAGAGGUGAAAUUCGUAGAUAUUAGAAAGAACACCAAAUGCGAAGGCAACUUUCUGGAUCAUUACUGACACUGAGGAGCGAAAGCAUGGGUAGCGAAGAGGAUUAGAUA
rnacentral:rRNA from 1 species